AUUGAACGCUGGCGGCAGGCCUAACACAUGCAAGUCGAACGGUAACAGGAAGCAGCUUGCUGCUUUGCUGACGAGUGGCGGACGGGUGAGUAAUGUCUGGGAAACUGCCUGAUGGAGGGGGAUAACUACUGGAAACGGUAGCUAAUACCGCAUAAUGUCGCAAGACCAAAGAGGGGGACCUUCGGGCCUCUUGCCAUCGGAUGUGCCCAGAUGGGAUUAGCUAGUAGGUGGGGUAAAGGCUCACCUAGGCGACGAUCCCUAGCUGGUCUGAGAGGAUGACCAGCCGCACUGGAACUGAGACACGGUCCAGACUCCUACGGGAGGCAGCAGUGGGGAAUAUUGCACAAUGGGCGCAAGCCUGAUGCAGCCAUGCCGCGUGUAUGAAGAAGGCCUUCGGGUUGUAAAGUACUUUCAGCGGGGAGGAAGGGAGUAAAGUUAAUACCUUUGCUCAUUGACGUUACCCGCAGAAGAAGCACCGGCUAACUCCGUG
rnacentral:rRNA from 1 species